UGGCCUUUUCAUUUUCGUUUCAAUUCUCAGAAAUUGGCAUCGGUUUUCUCUCUGAGUUAUGAUAAUAAGGCAAAAGAUCACAUUUUUUUGGGUACCCAUUUGAGAAUAAAUAUGAUGAAGCAAAAAUCAAUGUCGGCGCCGCCGUGGUUGGAGCCAUUGUUGAACACGGCGUUCUUCUCAAUCUGCCACACGCACGGCGAAUCCGCUAGGAGUGAGCGGAAUAUGUACUGUCUUGAUUGCCACUGCGACGCAUUUUGCUUCUAUUGCCGCUCAUCUCACCACAAGGAUCAUCAAGUAAUUCAGAUAAGGAGAUCUUCGUAUCAUGAUGUAGUAAGAGUGGCAGAUAUCGAAGAAGCUUUGGAUAUAAGUGGCGUUCAAACUUAUGUGAUUAAUAGCGCUAGAGUCAUGUUCUUGAACGAGAGGCCUCAACCCAAAGCUGGUAAAGGAGGAGCACAUAUUUGUGAAAUUUGUGGGAGAAGCUUAUUGGAUCCAUUUCGAUUCUGUUCACUCGGCUGUAAGCUUGUAGGGAUGAACAGAAAUGGGGAUGCCAGCUUUAGCUUGGAGACGAAGAAAGAAGCAAUGGUAAUGGAAAGAAGAGAAGGAAUUUCAUCAAGGAGAAGAAAAGGCAUUCCUCAUAGGGCACCUUUUGGGUCCUAAUUAUUGCCUUCCAAACCAAUUCUUUGAAGCCUUUAAUCAUUUUACAUGCCAUAAUUUGGGGUCAUUGUCCAUAAAAGGUCCCAUAUACAACAAAUUCUAUCUUGAGGAUGUGAAGAACCAAUAAUGGAGGAAUUGUUAUGUUGAUAAUUGCAAGGUGUAUAUUUGUUUAUUGAGAAAUUAAAAUUU